AUUGAACGCUGGCGGCAUGCCUUACACAUGCAAGUCGAACGGCAGCACGGGAGCAAUCCUGGUGGCGAGUGGCGAACGGGUGAGUAAUAUAUCGGAACGUGCCCGGUCGUGGGGAUAACGUAGCGAAAGCUACGCUAAUACCGCAUACGAUCUACGGAUGAAAGCGGGGGAGUCGCAAGACCUCGCGCGAUUGGAGCGGCCGAUAUCAGAUUAGGUAGUUGGUGAGGUAAAGGCUCACCAAGCCGACGAUCUGUAGCUGGUCUGAGAGGACGACCAGCCACACUGGGACUGAGACACGGCCCAGACUCCUACGGGAGGCAGCAGUGGGGAAUUUGGACAAUGGGCGCAAGCCUGAUCCAGCAAAUGCCGCGUGCAGGAUGAA
rnacentral:rRNA from 1 species